rnacentral:lncRNA from 12 species
AUGUUUAAGACACCUUCAUCAGUAGUGUACCUCUUUUUUUUUUUUUUUUUUUUUUUUUUUUUUUUUUUUUUUUUUUUUUUUUUUUUUUUUUUUUUUUUUUUUUUUUUUUUUUUUUUUUUUUUUUUUUUUUUUUUUUUUUUUUUUUUUUUUUUUUUUUUUUUUUUUUUUUUUUUUUUUUUUUUUUUUUUUUUUUUUUUUUUUUUUUUUUUUUUUUUUUUUUUUUUUUUUUUUUUUUUUUUUUUUUUUUUUUUUUUUUUUUUUUUUUUUUUUUUUUUUUUUUUUUUUUUUUUUUUUUUUUUUUUUUUUUUUUUUUUUUUUUUUUUUUUUUUUUUUUUUUUUUUUUUUUUUUUUUUUUUUUUUUUUUUUUUUUUUUUUUUUUUUUUUUUUUUUUUUUUUUUUUUUUUUUUUUUUUUUUUUUUUUUUUUUUUUUUUUUUUUUUUUUUUUUUUUUUUUUUUUUUUUUUUUUUUUUUUUUUUUUUUUUUUUUUUUUUUUUUUUUUUUUUUUUUUUUUUUUUUUUUUUUUUUUUUUUUUUUUUUUUUUUUUUUUUUUUUUUUUUUUUUUUUUUUUUUUUUUUUUUUUUUUUUUUUUUUUUUUUUUUUUUUUUUUUUUUUUUUUUUUUUUUUUUUUUUUUUUUUUUUUUUUUUUUUUUUUUUUUUUUUUUUUUUUUUUUUUUUUUUUUUUUUUUUUUUUUUUUUUUUUUUUUUUUUUUUUUUUUUUUUUUUUUUUUUUUUUUUUUUUUUUUUUUUUUUUUUUUUUUUUUUUUUUUUUUUUUUUUUUUUUUUUUUUUUUUUUUUUUUUUUUUUUUUUUUUUUUUUUUUUUUUUUUUUUUUUUUUUUUUUUUUUUUUUUUUUUUUUUUUUUUUUUUUUUUUUUUUUUUUUUUUUUUUUUUUUUUUUUUUUUUUUUUUUUUUUUUUUUUUUUUUUUUUUUUUUUUUUUUUUUUUUUUUUUUUUUUUUUUUUUUUUUUUUUUUUUUUUUUUUUUUUUUUUUUUUUUUUUUUUUUUUUUUUUUUUUUUUUUUUUUUUUUUUUUUUUUUUUUUUUUUUUUUUUUUUUUUUUUUUUUUUUUUUUUUUUUUUUUUUUUUUUUUUUUUUUUUUUUUUUUUUUUUUUUUUUUUUUUUUUUUUUUUUUUUUUUUUUUUUUUUUUUUUUUUUUUUUUUUUUUUUUUUUUUUUUUUUUUUUUUUUUUUUUUUUUUUUUUUUUUUUUUUUUUUUUUUUUUUUUUUUUUUUUUUUUUUUUUUUUUUUUUUUUUUUUUUUUUUUUUUUUUUUUUUUUUUUUUUUUUUUUUUUUUUUUUUUUUUUUUUUUUUUUUUUUUUUUUUUUUUUUUUUUUUUUUUUUUUUUUUUUUUUUUUUUUUUUUUUUUUUUUUUAGGGGAAACUGUCCCUUAAAACUGUCGCCUGAUUUUUUUAGGUUGAGGAAUACAAAGUUUUCGCUCUUGACUUGGUCCAGGCCAGCGAAUCAAGCUACUAGCUUGAUAAUCCUGGUCUGGCAUCGCAUUCCCUCCAAAAUCUAUUUGUUUGGUUAA